AGUGGGCAAACUUACAAAAUCAGCUGACUGUACUUGUUCUUGCAUGCUCUGUUAGUCUUUAAAAAUUGGACCACUGGCAGUGUCUCAAAAAUCAUUAAAUUAUAGGAGGUUUAGGAGGAACAUGAACACACAAAGCAGCCAGGAAAGAAAACAUUGAUGCACGACUGCCCACAAAUAUAAAUGCAAGUAAAGAGACAUUGUGAGAUUCAGAAGCCAUGUUCCUUAACCUAACACCUUGAAUUAUAAAGAGAUUUCAGGCUACUCCCUGAAGUGUUUUGUAUUGUGAGUCAAUCAUUCAGGCUAUUGAUGUGCCCUUGAAAGGAUAGUUUGACAUUCUGGGCAAAAUGCUUAUUUUCUUGUUGAGAGUUAUGAGAUCUACACAACCUUCAUGCAUAGUAUCUGCAUACACACCUCUAAAGCUCACUAACAUGUUACCCACAUGGGAAUCAAUCCUCUCAUCUAACUCACCAACUAUAAAUCAGUGAUUUGAAGAAGUCAGCAGAACAAGAGACAAAACGGAAAUACAGAACUUUUUAAUGUAAAAUAACCCAAACUGUUUCAGCUGUAGUGUGUUAGUGUAGAAUGGUGUUACACAUAUAAGAAACUGAAUGUGAAAAUAAGUUUCCAGGACAUUUCAACUUAAAAAGGUUUUAUUUUACUAGCUGAACUGUGGCCAGUACUUCAUAGUAGUAUGGAUGAAUUUCCUCUGGCUGUUGAUGUGCCUGUGCAAUGAGGCAGCUGAUUUUGCAAGCUGAUAUCUCAAACAUAAUGAAUAUGUUUACAGGUUUACAAUAUGUUUUAACCAGGGAUGUCCUGCAGGGUAAAAACGUUUUAAUCUCCAUUUACAGAGGUUUUUCAUUUGCAGGCUAGAAUUUACAGACAUUUUUUGGCUGAAUGAAAUUGUACCUGCAAUAAGAAGUACUGUAGAUCUGUUGCAUUAAAUAAUAUUAAAGCAUAAGGCUGGUCAUUUUCUUUUUUUAAUCAGUAUUUUCAACACUCUGCCUACAGAGACUAAGACCAACAAUUAUUUGUUUUACUACUCACUUUUAAUGUCUGUCAGUCCUGUUAUUCAUGGGGGUAUAGCUCAGUGGUAGAGCAUUUGACUGCAGAUCAAGAGGUCCCCAGUUCAACUCCCGGUGCCCUCUGUUGAUAUAACUAUGCACCCAAUGUCUGAAGCCUUUGGGAGGCAACAGUGGCGUACCUGACAAGCACGAGUCUGUAUAAAUUCAACCAACCACAUAUCCAGGUCCAUCUUUCAAAGGCCAAUCACAUGCCAGAGUCCAUCUUUCUGUUGCCAAUCAAACUGCUAAAUCCAUCUUUCUACUACCAAUCAUGAAACGCUGUCCAUUUUUCACCUUAGCAACGGUCCACCUGUUUUGUUUUUUUCGUCGCUAUGGGAAACUUAAAGUUGCUGAACCACAAGAACCGUAAGUAACAAUUAUCCUUCUGUCUCCAAACUUUGUUUAAUGUUUGAUAUCACUGAGAAAGUGGCUCUUUACAUGAACGUGAAGUUAACGCUAACAUGAAGCUACUACUGUGUUAGUGUGUUCGAGUGAACAGCCGCUUUAUUAAUACAUAACCUUAUUAUUAAGUCAGUGUUUAUUUGUUAUAUGCACAGUUCGGAAACUAUUGUUGCUAUAUUACUACUUGGUUUUCAAAAAUCUAAGUUAUAAAACAGUUUAAAAUGUUUUACUUAUAAUUAUGAUAUCAGAAGGCACACAACACGUUUUGCUCAUUUGUUAACGCCAUUGUACUGUAUGUUUAUGUUUGCUGUUGUUUUAAUGUCACUUAGUACACUUGAUGUCAAUGGCUUGGCACAGUCUUGUUAUUUCAGAUGGCAUCUCAAAAGUCACAUAAGGCCAUGGCAGACACAGAGUGGUUCUUACGUCUGCGAACAUUUGUCUACACUGGUGUUUGGCCAUCCAGAGAGGUAAACAGGCAAAAGAAAUGGAAUGACCUCUAUCUUAAGAUACAAAAAUACACUCUGCAUUGGAGAGGACAAAUGAUCUAUACAAAGGAAACAGCUGCACUUGUGGCUUUCACAAUGCCAAGGCAUCCUUCUUUCAAUAAGGCAAGUAUAGAUAUGUUAUGUUAAUCCCUCAACAGUAGGAACCUCAGAAAAGGAAGCGCUGGUUUCCCCUUUCAAAACCCUUUUUUAACCUUUGACAAGAGUCAGCAACAUUUUUAUAUAGGCAUUUCCUAAUGCUCACAAUGUUAUGCCCUAUUUGAAUAUACAGUAUACUAUAAAUCCCAAAGUCAUGCAUUGUGCACCCACAUACUGUGUGUGCUUUCAUGCAUUUGGCUGUACGAAGUGUGGAAAGACUUACCCAAAAAAAAAAAGAAAACAAAUUACACUCUUUGUGUAUACAAAGUUGCUAACUUUAGAAAAUGUGGCACUUCAGUCCAGUCCUGUUCAGCCUUGUGUAAACAGUAGACAGGACCUUAAGAAUGGAAACAGUAAAAAACAGAAGACUAGGGGACAACCCCCAGGAGUACCAGAUAUUUAGAGUUUUAUAUCCUGAUGAUAGUGAUUUUGAAGGGUGAACGGGUGUGCCUUCAUUUAGGAUAGAUUGCAUUUGAUUAACUAUUGGGUCCAGUGUGGCUUGGUCACGUUUCAUCACCAAGUGGGGCCGACAACACUGUACGUAAGCAGAAGAAAUGGUAUGGUUUUUAUUCAUUCAUUCAUUCAUUUUCUACCGCUUAAUCCCUGAGCGGGGUCACGGGUGGGGCCGGAG